AUUGAACGCUGGCGGCAUGCCUUACACAUGCAAGUCGAACGGCAGCGGGGACUUCGGUCCGCCGGCGAGUGGCGAACGGGUGAGUAAAGCAUCGGAACGUACCCUUCAGUGGGGGAUAACUAUCCGAAAGGAUAGCUAAUACCGCAUAUUCUCUGAGGAGGAAAGCGGGGGACCUUAUGGCCUCGCGCUGAUGGAGCGGCCGAUGUCAGAUUAGCUAGUUGGUGAGGUAAAGGCUCACCAAGGCGACGAUCUGUAGCGGGUCUGAGAGGAUGAUCCGCCACACUGGGACUGAGACACGGCCCAGACUCCUACGGGAGGCAGCAGUGGGGAAUUUUGGACAAUGGGGGCAACCCUGAUCCAGCCAUGCCGCGUGAGUGAAGAAGGCCUUCGGGUUGUAAAGCUCUUUCGGCCGGGAAGAAAUCGCACAGGUUAAUACCUUGUGUGGAUGACGGUACCGGAAUAAGAAGCACCGGCUAACUACGUGCCAGCAGCCGCCGUAA
rnacentral:rRNA from 1 species